AAAAAGUUGUUGAGACAGUGCCCCUUGAGUUCUCCAAAUUCCUAUUUGUCAAAUUGAUGCAUCAUAGAUCAAUAAUGCAACGUCGGUGGUUUAGGAUGUAGUCUUAAAGAUUAAAUGGACUUGGAAUAUUUCGGAUUACAGGGUUGCAAUAGAAUUUCUCAGCUUUGCAUCCUGAAAUGGAAAAUCUACUUUGGGCAUC
rnacentral:lncRNA from 1 species